rnacentral:rRNA from 1 species
GACGAACGCUGGCGGCGUGCUUAACACAUGCAAGUCGAACGGAAAGGCCCUGCCUUUGUGGGGUGCUCGAGUGGCGAACGGGUGAGUAACACGUGAGUAGCCUGCCCUUGACUUCGGGAUAACUUUAGGAAACUGGGGCUAAUACCGGAUAGGAGCUCCUGUUGCAUGGUGGGGGGUGGAAAGUUUCGGCGGUUGGGGAUGGUCUCGCGGCUUAUCAGCUUGUUGGUGGGGUAGUGGCUUACCAAGGCUUUGACGGGUAGCCGGCCUGAGAGGGUGACCGGCCACAUUGGGACUGAGAUACGGCCCAGACUCCUACGGGAGGCAGCAGUGGGGAAUAUUGCACAAUGGGCGGAAGCCUGAUGCAGCAACGCCGCGUGCGGGAUGACGGCCUUCGGGUUGUAAACCGCUUUCGCCUGUGACGAAGCGUGAGUGACGGUAAUGGGUAAAGAAGCACCGGCUAACUACGUG